rnacentral:rRNA from 1 species
GACGAACGCUGGCGGCGUGCCUAAUACAUGCAAGUUGAGCGAUGAAGAUUGGUGCUUGCACCAAUUUGAAGAGCAGCGAACGGGUGAGUAACGCGUGUGGAAUCUGCCUUUGAGCGGGGGACAACAUUUGGAAACGAAUGCUAAUACCGCAUAACAACUUUAAACAUAAGUUUUAAGUUUGAAAGAUGCAAUUGCAUCACUCAAAGAUGAUCCCGCGUUGUAUUAGCUAGUUGGUGAGGUAAAGGCUCACCAAGGCGAUGAUACAUAGCCGACCUGAGAGGGUGAUCGGCCACAUCGGGACUGAGACACGGCCCAAACUCCUACGGGAGGCAGCAGUAGGGCAUAUUCGGCGAUAGACGAGAGUCUGACCGAGAAACGCCGCGUGAGUGAAGAAGGUUUUCGGAUCGUAAAACUCUGUUGGUAGAGAAGAACGUUGGUGAGAGUGGAAAGCUCAUCAAGUGACGGUAACUACCCAGAGAGGGACGGCUAACUACGUG